GGAACCUAAAUGUUGUCUAAAUAAUGUCUUGCUGUCUGGUGAGGAAGAGUGAGUUGCCUGAAGAAAAAGGGUUUUGUUAACUGAGAGAAGGCUGGGAGGAACUGUUGGACUGGACACUACUACGUAAUUAUGAAAGAAAGAGCAGCAUAUUACAGUAAUGCCAUGACUUUGAGGAAGAUGCUAUGUCCAACAGUAUCAGUUUCCAGGAAUGGAGGUGAUGAUAGUGGCCUGCAGAUAUUUAUCAACAAGUCAUUCCCAGACCACCUGGAAAGGUCCACUGGAGGGCACUGGGAGAGUAAUUCUUCAGGACUGGGCAUAAGAAGAAGACAGCAGGGAAAAACACCUGGUGCUCUCCAUGGCUAUGAGCUAUCUCUUAAGGACAGGAAACUUCAUCAUCACAGCAAGAGAAGAACAGGC
ensembl:lncRNA